rnacentral:lncRNA from 1 species
AUAAUAUGCAUUUCACCUUGUCUAAAUAAUGCAUUCUCCAUAUCUGUCUAUUGGAAAUCUUAACAUUGAUUUGAAUAAAACUGAAAUUUGUCGUUGCUCACAAUCCUUAUGAUGUAAGGAAAACUUGUAUGUGAUUAUGCUGGAAUAUACAUACAACAUCAUAUAUAUAUGGCAAGGAAAAACCCAGAAUAUGUAACAUUUCAAUACAGCUAUACAGCAAGCACAUAAGG